AGUGAACGCUGGCGGUAGGCCUAACACAUGCAAGUCGAACGGCAGCACAGUAAGAGCUUGCUCUUACGGGUGGCGAGUGGCGGACGGGUGAGGAAUACAUCGGAAUCUACUUUUUCGUGGGGGAUAAUGUAGGGAAACUUACGCUAAUACCGCAUACGACCUACGGGUGAAAGCAGGGGAUCUUCGGACCUUGCGCGAUUGAAUGAGCCGAUGUCGGAUUAGCUAGUUGGCGGGGUAAAGGCCCACCAAGGCGACGAUCCGUAGCUGGUCUGAGAGGAUGAUCAGCCACACUGGAACUGAGACACGGUCCAGACUCCUACGGGAGGCGGCAGUGGGGAAUAUUGGACAAUGGGCGCAAGCCUGAUCCAGCCAUGCCGCGUGGGUGAAGAAGGCCUUCGGGUUGUAAAGCCCUUUUGUUGGGAAAGAAAAGCAGCAGGUUAAUACCCCGCUGUUCUGACGGUACCCAAAGAAUAAGCACCGGCUAACUUCGUG
rnacentral:rRNA from 1 species